CCUACGGGGUGCAGCAGUGGGGAAUAUUGGACAAUGGGCGAAAGCCUGAUCCAGCCAUGCCGCGUGUGUGAAGAAGGCCUUCGGGUUGUAAAGCACUUUCAGUGGGGAAGAAAGCCUUGGGGCUAAUACCCUCGAGGAAGGACAUCACCCACAGAAGAAGCACCGGCUAACUCCGUGGCCAGCAGCCGCGGUAAUACGGAGGGUGCGAGCGUUAAUCGGAAUUACUGGGCGUAAAGCGCGCGUAGGCGGUCUGAUAAGCCGGUUGUGAAAGCCCCGGGCUCAACCUGGGAACGGCAUCCGGAACUGUCAGGCUAGAGUGCAGGAGAGGAAGGUAGAAUUCCCGGUGUAGCGGUGAAAUGCGUAGAGAUCGGGAGGAAUACCAGUGGCGAAGGCGGCCUUCUGGACUGACACUGACGCUGAGGUGCGAAAGCGUGGGUAGCAAACAGGAUUAGAUACCCGAGUAGUC
rnacentral:rRNA from 1 species